ensembl:lncRNA
GGUAAAAUAAAAAAAAAACACAAAAACAGAAAAGAAAAUGUGUUAUCAGCUUGCUUAUCAACAGUGAAAAAACACAACAGGACAUAGUGUGAUGAAUCAGAAAUCUCUUUAGGUUUUUUAAUUUACUUUUUAAGUACUUGCAUUUCUCAUUUCUAUAAAGUUCUAUUUAAUGCCCUAUGCAAAGCCAUAUCAGUAAUAAAGUACAGUUUUGUAAGAAUGCAUAUAUCAUUCCUGUAGCAGUUAAUAUCCAUCUUUUAUUCUUUUGUUUGGACUUGUAAAUUUAAAUGCUUUUUUCAGUCAUUCUGCUGCAGUUAUUUUUUAACCAAACCACGUACAGAAAAGUUAAACAUAGAUGUGCACAUACACAUAUAAGUGCAGCACAGCUGACUAGGCAAGGGCACCAACCUAUUAACACUGAGAAAAUUCUGGACAUGAGAAUCCAACAGUCUGUAGCUGUUGUACACUUCUGAGAUGAUGAAUGUAUUAAAAUCUUCCUAAAUAUACUGAGAAUAAGAACCUAGAUUUGCAGCUUCAAAACCUUGAAAGUAAUUCAGAGUUAUAUUUUUGAAUUAAAGUUUAUGUUACAUUAUCCAUCUUUCAGUCUCUCCUUUCAUUACCACUGCAAUAUUUUCUCAUAUACUUCUGAAUAGUUUCACCUUGACCAAACUAGUAAACACUAGUUCUGAUAUAUCAGCUUAUUUCUCCCCACUGUAAACAAACUGCUCUUCAGGUGCAUUAAAAGUGUCAAAUGGAUUUCAACAUAUAUCUCUUCAUUACCCCAGAUUUGUGUGUAAAAAAUAAUAUUAAAAUAAUGCAUGCAAGUACUGGAGUAUUGGGUAAAAAAAAGGGUAGAUGAUAGUUUUUUUCAUUAAUCGUCUAUCAGAUUAAUCAUCCAUCUACUGGCUCUUUAAUUUCUUUCUUUCUUAAUUAUUUAUCUAUUUGUUUUCAGUUAUAAAACCCAAGGACUACCCUCCACUCCUCUUCUUUCAAGUUGAGUCAUAGAAGACUUCAACAAAGAUAUUGAAGAAUAUUAGAAGAGUCUUUAUAUUCCUUGGGAAGAUGUUGAAGGGAUCAGGAAUACAGGUUGUAUUCUCUUUGAUCUUCCUGGUUGGUGACUUACAUCUCUUUUGUCCUCGAACCUCUAGGUUAUGAGUGGGGGAGCAAAAUCCUUCAUACUGCAAGCAAAGAGUAAGUUCAAGACCACCUCAUGAAUGGUGGAAUGUGUACAAGUCUACAUGGCCUGAUGACAUGCACUCCAGGGUUCUGAAAAGAAAAAAAUGAAGGAGAAACCAUUUUGUGUUUGAAUAAAUUCCAGUAUUCUUUUGACA